rnacentral:tRNA from 1 species
CAUGGUAGACGUAGUUU